AGAGUUUGAUCAUGGCUCAGGACGAACGCUGGCGGCGCGCGUAACACAUGCAAGUCGAACGGAGUUCUUUUGAUGAAGUUUUCGGAUGGAUUCACUUGAACUUAGUGGCGGACGGGUGAGUAACACGUGAGCAACCUGCCUAUCAGAGGGGGAUAACGAUUGGAAACGAUCGCUAAUACCGCAUAACGCAGCGAGGAGGCAUCUUCUUGCUACCAAAGAUUUAUCGCUGAUAGAUGGGCUCGCGUCCGAUUAGAUAGUUGGUGAGGUAACGGCCCACCAAGUCGACGAUCGGUAGCCGGACUGAGAGGUCGAACGGCCACAUUGGGACUGAGACACGGCCCAGACUCCUACGGGAGGCAGCAGUGGGGGAUAUUGCACAAUGGGGGAAACCCUGAUGCAGCGACGCCGCGUGAGGGAAGACGGUCCUCUGGAUUGUAAACCUCUGUCUUCGGGGACGAAACGAGACGGUACCCGAGGAGGAAGCCACGGCUAACUACGUGCCAGCAGCCGCGGUAAUACGUAGGUGGCAAGCGUUGUCCGGAAUUACUGGGUGUAAAGGGAGCGUAGGCGGGCAGGCAAGUCAGGCGUGAAAGAUAUCGGCUCAACCGGUAGCUGCGCUUGAAACUGCAGGUCUUGAGUGAAGUAGAGGUUGGCGGAAUUCCUAGUGUAGCGGUGAAAUGCGUAGAUAUUAGGAGGAACACCAGUGGCGAAGGCGGCCAACUGGGCUUUUACUGACGCUGAGGCUCGAAAGUGUGGGGAGCAAACAGGAUUAGAUACCCUGGUAGUCCACACCGUAAACGAUGAUUACUAGGUGUGGGGGGACUGACCCCUUCCGUGCCGGAGUU
rnacentral:rRNA from 1 species